AUGUGUGUGUGUGUGUGUGUGUGCGUGCGUGUGCGUGCGUGUGCGUGUGUGUGUGUGUGUGUGUGUGUGCGUGCCUCCUCCCAGGGUUCAACUCCAACAUCAACCUACCAGGUAGAGAGGAGCACCCAGGCUCCACCCCCACCUCCUCGUCUCCGCAGCUACAGGACAAGAACGCCAACAACCACACACCCCCCUCCCCAAGCCCCACUCCCAUUGAGAACGGCAACCGGCUGUCCAACGGGUCAAUGGAAGAUGAGGGUCACACAAAGUCAAACUCUUCCAGCUCAUCAUCUCUGCACAGGCAUAUGGACAGCCAUCACACUCAGAGGGGUCAUCUCAACUUCUCGCCCUUCGGUGCGGGGGCUGCACUCUAAGGCAGAGUGGGCGCGGGAGCACCCCUCAUAUUAGGGACGGGGUGAGUGUGGUUGACCGUAUCAUACUCUAGCUCGAUGCUCUCCCUCCCUUCCACACUUCCUCUUCUUGUUCAAUCCACUUCCUGUAACCUGACACCCUGCUCCUAGGAGAAGUUACCCCUAACCACAGAUCUAGGAUCAGAUUGUCAUCCCUGUAAUCCUAAACUUAACCAUUCGGAGGGGAAAACUGAUCUUGGAUCCGCGUGUAUAAGAGGCAGCUUCAUCCUACUCUCUUCCGCUCAUCGCUCAGAAAGGAAACUGCAGCUCUGGGUUUGACUCUGUGCUCCACUCUCUGGUUUGACAUUCAGCUAAGGGUUGGGGGGAGUGAUCCCUGGUUAAGCCCCUAACCCUCAGUCACCUACUACAGGUUGUUCAUCUGAAUGGAUUGGACAGUUAUACGCAAUAUGGAGAAAACUCCACCAAGCCAAUAGGAGGGUAAGCUAAAGCAAUAUCGGUAUUGUUCAUUCCAUGAAAUGUCUAUGGGGAGGGGGUAAAUUAUUGCCUAUGUUUUAGGCAAUGAAUUAGAGAGUCAGGUGGAAAGAUGAGCUAGAGUCACACAGUUUGCAGUACAGAAGUGUGCAGAGAAGUGGCCCGUAGUGGGUAAAGUAUAUAGGGUAAGUCAGGAAAGGGCAGUGAGAGAGUUAAUGGUAUACAUACUCCUAGUUGGUGAGGUGGAGUUAGAUUGUUAGGUGGUGGAGGGAAAUGGCUAGCGUUAAGUAGAGUUUAGAUGAGGUAGUUUGUCAGUGAGUGGUUCUCUCCUAUGGAGCAGCUCAAUGAGAGUUGGGGUGUAAACCAACCUGUCGUACGGCUCAGUGGAGUGACCCCGGGCUAACCUCAAUAUAAGUAGCUUAGGGAGCUGCCUCCACAUAAUCACAGCCUGGACAGGCCCCACUCAAAGAUGGACAUGUUUGGAGAACGUUAAUCAUAUGUUUGGGUGCAGACCUUGGUUCUCAGCUUCUCUGUCAGACGUCCUUGGGUGAGGGAUGCUCUUGGAGGUUGUCCUUGGACCACACACACACGCACACACACACAUGCAUAAACACGCACACACGCACGUGCAUGCCCACGCAGACGUGCACACACACGCACAUACACGCGCACACACACAGAGACAAACACACACAAGCACAGACAAACACACAUACACUCAUUCACAACAGUGUACUAAAAGUGGGUGUAUAUUCAUGUCCACAUCUGUUAUCUUCUCAAACAAAAGAGAGCUGCAGUUUUUUUACACUGUUUUUUUCUCUGCUCAUCUACUGGCUUGUUUAUGUUUAUACUGAAUUCAUGGGGCCCGUCCCCUUUUCCUUCACAGUGGCAUUCAUCAAUUCAUUCAUUUUCUUUGACUAGGAUUGAAAAACAAUAGUUGAAAGGAUCGGCAUAGAUUAUUUAAUGAAGGACAUUGCUUGUGAUUGCUACAUUGCUUCCAUGUGAUGGAGGUGAUAUGGAGGACCUUGACCUAUAUCUGUGUCUCUUUGAUGACCCUUGAUUUCUGGUUCAGUCAAGCAAAAUUGUAAACGUUUGCUGCAAUUCACGCAAAUGAGCGCCAAGAUGGAUGUAGGGUGACUAUGGAAAAAUGCAU
rnacentral:lncRNA from 1 species